rnacentral:pre_miRNA from 2 species
GGAAGCUUGAAAAUUACCGUUGGAUCAAAAAUAGAUGUCCGAGAUUCGUCAAUGUCACGGUUAAAAUUUUACUCAUAGCAAAAUUUUUACUCGUGAUGACAUAGACAAAUAUCAGACGUCUAUUUUUCGAUCCAACGGUAGUUUUCAGGUUUCC